rnacentral:piRNA from 1 species
UCUAUGAAAGGAUCCAGCCAGGUCAUGCCA